rnacentral:rRNA from 1 species
UCAUGCAGUCGACGAGAAGUACCUUCGGGUACGAGUAUAGUGGCAAACGGGUGAGUAAUACUUAGGUAACGUACCUCUAAGAGGGGGAUAACCUGCUGAAAGGCGGGCUAAUACCGCAUAUGACCACAGUCUCUACGGAGACAGAGGUGAAAGGUGGCCUCUACUUGUAAGCUACCACUUAGAGAUCGGCUUAAGCACCAUUAGCUAGUUGGUGAGGUAAAGGCUCACCAAAGCAACGAUGGUUAGCUGAUCUGAGAGGAUGAUCAGCCACACUGGAACUGCGACACGGUCCAGACUCCUACGGGAGGCAGCAGUAGGGAAUAUUGCGCAAUGGAGGAAACUCUGACGCAGCGACGCCGCGUGUGUGAUGAAGGCUUUCGGGUCGUAAAGCACUGUCAGAAGGGAAGAAAAACCACCUUGGAAAUACUUGGGUGGCUUGACGGUACCUUCGAAGGAAGCACCGGCUAACUACGUGCCAGCAGCCGCGGUAAUACGUAGGGUGCUAACGUUGUUCGGAAUUAUUGGGCGUAAAGCGCGUGUAGGUUGCCAAGUAAGUUGAAUGUGAAAGCCCUCGGCUCAACCGAGGAAGUGCAUUCAAAACUGCUCGGCUAGAGGAUGGUAGAGGAAUGUGGAAAUUCCUAGUGUAGAGGUGAAAUUCGUAGAUAUUAGGAGGAAUACCUGGUGGCCGAAGCGGCCUUCUGGGCCAUUCCUGACACUGAGACGCGAAAGCGUGGUAGCAAACAGAUUAGAUACCCUGGUAGUCCACGCCGUAA